GACGAACCGUGCAAACGUUGUUCGGAAUCACUGGGCUUAAAGGGCGCGUAGGCGGGUGGUCAAGUCAGGGGUGAAAUCUUUCGGCUCAACCGGAAAACAGCCUCUGAUACUGACCGUCUUGAGCGAGGUAGGGGCAUGUGGAACUUCCGGUGGAGCGGUGAAAUGCGUUGAUAUCGGAAGGAACGCCGGUGGCGAAAGCGACGUGCUGGACCUCUUCUGACGCUGAGGCGCGAAAGCCAGGGGAGCGAACGGG
rnacentral:rRNA from 1 species